rnacentral:rRNA from 1 species
GACGAACGCUGGCGGCGUGCUUAACACAUGCAAGUCGAACGCUGAAGCACCAGCUUGCUGGUGCGGAUGAGUGGCGAACGGGUGAGUAAUACGUGAGUAACCUGCCCUUGACUCUGGGAUAAGCCCGGGAAACUGGGUCUAAUACUGGAUGCUACAUGUCACCGCAUGGUGGUGUGUGGAAAGGGUUUACUGGUCUUGGAUGGGCUCACGGCCUAUCAGCUUGUUGGUGAGGUAAUGGCUCACCAAGGCGACGACGGGUAGCCGGCCUGAGAGGGUGACCGGCCACACUGGGACUGAGACACGGCCCAGACUCCUACGGGAGGCAGCAGUGGGGAAUAUUGCACAAUGGGCGAAAGCCUGAUGCAGCGACGCCGCGUGAGGGAUGACGGCCUUCGGGUUGUAAACCUCUUUCAGCAGGGAAGAAGCCACAAGUGACGGUACCUGCAGAAGAAGCGCCGGCUAACUACGUG